GGGGCUGUUUUGGAAUCGACAUUAAAAUUUUUAGGACAUUUUGUUAUAACUUAUAAAGUUAUUUACUUUAGAACAAAUGCAAACAACAUCUUAAACUUUAAUUCAAAGUUAGCUAUCGCUUAAAAUUUUUGAAUUACCAAUGAAAUUGGUCACUUAUUUUAUUGGUUCGAUUUAUAGUGAAUGCUGUAUUACGUAUACAAAGAAAUUUUCAUCUCGAAUAAAACGCCGUAGUUGACAAAGGUUCAAUUUAAAAUUGAAUGGACGUGGGUUCAAAUCCCACCAGCUCCA
rnacentral:tmRNA from 1 species